rnacentral:rRNA from 1 species
GUGGGGAAUCUUAGACAAUGGGGAAACCCUGAUCUAGCCAUGCCGCGUGAGCGAUGAAGGCCUUAGGGUUGUAAAGCUCUUUCAGCUGGGAAGAUAAUGACGGUACCAGCAGAAGAAGCCCCGGCUAACUCCGUGCCAGCAGCCGCGGUAAUACGGAGGGGGCUAGCGUUGUUCGGAAUUACUGGGCGUAAAGCGCACGUAGGCGGAUCAGAAAGUCAGAGGUGAAAUCCCAGGGCUCAACCUUGGAACUGCCUUUGAAACUCCUGGUCUUGAGGUCGAGAGAGGUGAGUGGAAUUCCGAGUGUAGAGGUGAAAUUCGUAGAUAUUCGGAGGAACACCAGUGGCGAAGGCGGCUCACUGGCUCGAUACUGACGCUGAGGUGCGAAAGCGUGGGGAGCAAACAGGAUUAGAAACCCGGGUAGUCC